AGCGAACGCUGGCGGCAGGCCUAACACAUGCAAGUCGAACGAACCCUUCGGGGUUAGUGGCGGACGGGUGAGUAACACGUGGGAACGUGCCUUUAGGUUCGGAAUAACUCAGGGAAACUUGUGCCAAUACCGAAUGUGCCCUUCGGGGGCAAGAUUUAUCCCCUUUAGAGCGGCCCGCGGGUUAUUAGCUAGUCUGCGAGGUAAAGGCUCACCAAGGCGAGGACCAGUAGCUGGUCUGAGAGGAUGACCUGCCACAGUGGGACUGACACACGGCCCAAACUGCUACGGGAGGAAGCUGUGGGGAAUCUGGCGCAGUGGGCGAAAGCCUGACGCAGCCAUGCCGCGUGUAUGAUGAAGGUCUUAGGAUUGUAAAAUACUUUCACCGGUGAAGAUAAUGACUGUAGCCGGAGAAGAAGCCCCGGCUAACUUCGUGCCAGCCGCCGCAGUAAAAC
rnacentral:rRNA from 1 species